rnacentral:tRNA from 1 species
AGUACCCCAGUGGUAGAUCACUGGACAUUCAAUUGCUCUGGGGCUGGUUCAAUUCCUGGCAC